CGAAACCCACGGUUUGAUACAUGAUUUUUACGCAUUAACAAUGACCGUUAGAGUGAUAGAUUCAGUGCUGGCUGUUGCUUUAUUUAUCUCUGUGUUUAAAUGCCUAGCCGCCUUAAUUAUCAGAAUGCCAUGCUACAUGCCACCUUCAGUCAUGAUGUCGGCUGAGGAAUGCUGCCGACUCUGUGACCCUUACCAAGUGUUUAUGAAGUACAGAACAAGCGGAUAUGUCUAAUGAAGCGUGCUCUAAUUUUACUACAACUAUUUAAUUA